GAUAAGGUGGCUGAGUUAUAGGCGGUAGAUUGUAAAUCUAUUUAGAAGUUGAUACUUUCUUAUUA
rnacentral:tRNA from 2 species